rnacentral:lncRNA from 1 species
AUGUUUACCAGAUGCCGCAGCGAAGGAGGAUUUCCAAUUUGGCUUCUGGCUCGCUGGACACCCCUGCUGAAAAGACAAGCGCCCAAGGACAUGGGUGGGAGUUUGGCGUUUGGCUGCUGCGGCACGAAAUUCGCACGGGAGAAAGAGCAAGUGCAAAACGAAGCGGUGAUCCUCCUGCACAGCCCAGCACCGCUGGGUACCUGGUUAAUCCCUGCAGUAGUGGGGGAAAGACAGCGAGCCUCCCUCCCUGGCCACCUCGGAUGUGUGGACGGUUUCCAUGAAUGUCUCCGCAGAGGGAGAAGGGGACUGUGCUCUUCCCAUCCCCGGGUGCUGCUGGAGGAAGCUGCUCCUGGCCGCCCUGGUGUGGUGGAAAUCAGAAGUGGUGAGGGGUCAAGGGAGCGCAGGAGAAGCGAGCUGGGGCUGCCAACCGCAGUGCCCCACUCCGUCGGCAUAAGCAAGGAGAAUGGUGGGCCCGCGCGCCAUUUUUUCCCCUCUUCCCUCAGCUCACUUUUGUCCUACAUCAUUCCUGAGUGUGGGGUAAGUAAGUCCCUCAGAAAUUGCAUACAAGAAAUAAUGUACUUAUGCCACAAUAUAUACCAUUGUGCUGCGUCCAGCUCAUGCAAAGUUCAGCGUGGUUUCUGCUGGCUGUGUUGCAGCACCUUUGGCAAACAUACUUCAUCACUUUGGGAAGCGUGCUUCAUCACUUCAGUGAGCCUAUUUAUUUGUUCUCAAAGUUCCCUGAAAUCAUCCCUCGCUAGCUGGAAGCGAAACUGUGCUUUCUAUCUCUCCAUUUAUCUCGUGGAAGCCGAUAAUGCAGAUGUGUGUGUGCCGGCUGGGUGUGGUGGUGUAAAAUGCAUUGCUCCUGAAGAAGCUGAGCAAGACAACCGGCACCGUGGCUGUCCUGCCCCUGCCCUUCUAACCAGGCUCUGACAUUUGGCCCUACAACACCCUCCUGCUGGGGGAUCGAAGGGAAGGUGCUCUGCGCUCAGCCUCGUGCGCUUCAUCCGAGGCUGACAAGCUCAGCGGAGUUUCGUACAGUGACCGUUUUUGAGAAUACAUCACCUAAACUGCACAUGUGUCUGAAUGACGUGCUGGAAUCGGGUCGUCCUCUGCAGCAAUUAGGUGUGCACCAGCAUGUGUAAGCAAGCGGAUGCAUCCAACCUCGGAAAAGAUUUUUUAACAGGCAGUGGAGGCAAAGUCCUCUGGCUUUCUCUUGACAUUAGGAUUUUCUGCUUUACUGGUUUAUUUUUAGAAAUGCACACUGCAGAAAAGGGAAUUUUGCUAAUAGUGGCUUGCAGUCUCAUUUGUGAAAGUAACGUUUCAGAAGUACGAGAGAAGAUUGUGCUGUUAUAUUUAAAUCUAUGCAUGUUUUGCUGACUUGGAAGUUGGUACCAUUUUUUCAAAGACUCGCUCACUAAGCCUGAUUUGUGCCCUUUAUCUUUUGAUGUUUAAGAAGCUUUUCUUCCCAAAGUCUCCUUUUCUUUCAAGGCACUUCAAUGAAAGUCUUCUUUUGCCCACCUUCAGAACUCCACAUAGGAUCUUUCUAUCCUCACUGAUUUAUCUUAUGUAUUCUCUUGACUAGAGGUAAAUCAUGAAUUUGUCCUCAUUUCAUAGCUUGUGUUCUUUUUUUACCUUUUUUUCUUUUUUUUUCCAGUUCUUCCAUUUUCUGAGACGUAUGUUUCAUACUAAUGAAAUACUUGUGUGUAAUCAUCACACUAAAAGCAAACUACAGUGGUCUUACUGCUACAGUAAGGACAUUAAGUGCAUCAACAUGAAUCAGAAUCAAUGGAUUCCUUGCUGCUUUUUUUUUUCUUUUUUUUUUUCUUUAAACUAUUACUACUUACAUGUUCAAAUGCAAAAAAGGGUGUUUAAAAAUAAAGUGAAGGGUCAGACUCUGACCUUGUCUUCU